GCUAGUUCGGCUUUUGAGAGACAUCGAUAUUUUUGCGGCGUUACAGCGUUCCCUCCUCACCGAUUAACCAUAAUUUGUCAAAUAUCACGCAUUUUUUGGACAACCGACCGCCUGCAUUCCUUUGCUAAUAUCUUUUAAUCAAGAUGUCACGAUAUCGCGAAUGGGACCUCGCUUGCAAGGUGUACGUCGGCAACCUGGGCAGCAACGCCUCCAAACAUGAAAUUGAAUCGGCCUUUUCUAAGUACGGCCCAUUGAGGAAUGUUUGGGUCGCCAGGAACCCUGCAGGGUUCGCCUUUGUUGAGUUUGAAGAUAACAGAGACGCCGAAGACGCGGUCCGAGGACUGGAUGGAACUCGUGUUUGCGGAACCCGUGUGCGUGUAGAGAUGUCCACUGGACGCAGUAGGAGAGGAGGUGGUGGAGGCGGCGGCGGUGGAGGCGGAGGCGGUGGCCGCAGAGGAGGUCCACGAAACAGCAGGUACUCCAGGGAUCAACUUCUACUACUACUAGUCAAACUAGCACAACUGCUACUGCUUCUUUGUACACAUUCACCUCUCACCACCACCACCACCAACCCCUUACCGCCUGUCAGCCUUCAAUCUUCAAAAAUCACCACCGCAACCGGACUGCAAUUCCUCCCGACAUGAUAAAUCUCAAAGAAAGAAAGCCUCUAACUCUCUCAGUCCGAGAACGGUGCUAUCGAUUAUGAGCUAAAGAAAGUCCCCUUUGUCAGGGUGUGGUUGGCAGUUGACUCACUCUCACCCGCCCGCCCAACUGUCCGCCCGUCGGUCGUUCGUCCAAAGGGGCUGCUCAACCAACCACCCCCACCACCCUGCGCGCGUCCUUUUUCUGCGCAACUUUAAAGGACCUCAAAAUGACUCUCCUCAAAAUGCAACUACUUUUCAACUUGCUCGCUCGACCUCACACGUUAAAGAACGGUCUCGUUCACCCAGGGAGAGGCGCCAAGGGAGAGACUCGCGAAGCCGAUCGCGCUCCCGUUCCAGAAGCCGUAGGUCCCGCUCAGAUUCACCACCACGUGAACGCCGCUACAACAAGGACGACUACUAAGACCCUGGCACU